GGAGUGGGUUGCAAAAGAAGUAGGUAGCUUAACCUUCGGGAGGGCGCUUACCACUUUGUGAUUCAUGACUGGGGUGAAGUCGUAACAAGGUAACCGUAGGGGAACCUGCGGUUGGAUCACCUCCUUACCUAAAGA
rnacentral:rRNA from 1 species